rnacentral:rRNA from 1 species
CCUACGGGAGGCAGCAGUGAGGAAUAUUGGUCAAUGGCCGGAAGGCUGAACCAGCCAUGCCGCGUGAAGGUCAGUGCCCUAUGGGCGUUAAACUUCUUUUGUGCGGGAGCAAUAAUGGUCACGUGUGGCCAGACGAGAGUACCGUACGAUUAAGCAGCAGCUAACUCCGUGCCAGCAGCCGCGGUAACACGGGGGAUGCAAGUGUUAUCCGGAAUUAUUGGGUUUAAAGGGGGCGUAAGCUGGGGGGUAAGUCAGCGGUGAAAUGCCCCGGCUCUAGGGGGUGAAGUGCCAUUGAUACUGGCUUGCUAGAGUGCUGAUGCCGUGGGAAGAAUGUGUGGUGUAGCGGUGAAAUGCAUAGAGAUGACGCAGAACACCGAUUGCGAAGGCAUCUCACGAAUCCGCGAUUGACGCUGAUGCGCGAAAGCGUGGGUAUCAAACAGGAUUAGAUACCCGUGUAGUC